UACGAAGGGGGCUAGCGUUGCUCGGAUUGACUGGGCGUAAAGGCGCGUAGGCGGUUCGUACAGUCAGACGUGAAUUCCUGGGCUCAACCUGGGAAUUGCAGUCGAAACUACUCGGCUAGAGUAUGGGAGAGGGCAGUGGAAUUCCCGGUGUAGCGGUGAAAUGCGUAGAUAUCGGGAGGAACAUCAGUGGCGAAGGCGGCUGCCUGGCCCAAUACUGACACUCAGGUGCGACAGCGUGGGGAGCAAACAGG
rnacentral:rRNA from 1 species